AGUUGGUGGAGUGAUUUGUCUGGUUAAUUCCGUUAACGAACGAGACCUUAACUGUCUAAAUAGGACUUGGAAAUGUUUUUCUUGUGCUUCUUAGAGGGACUGUAUGUUUGAGCGUAAUGAGGUUUGAGGCAAUAACAGG
rnacentral:rRNA from 1 species